CUACGGGGGGCUGCAGGCGAGAAAACUUUGCAAUGUGCGAAAGCACGACAAGGUUAAUCCGAGUGGUUUGUGCUAAACGAACCUUUUGACAGUCCUAGAAACACUGUUGAAUAAGGGGUGGGCAAGUUCUGGUGUCAGCCGCCGCGGUAAGACCAGCACCUCAAGUGGUCAGGAUGAUUAUUGGGCCUAAAGCAUCCGUAGCCGGCUCUGUAAGUUUUCGGUUAAAUCUGUACGCUCAACGUACAGGCUGCCGGGAAUACUGCAGAGCUAGGGAGUGGGAGAGGUAGACUGUACUCGGUAGGAAGGGGUAAAAUCCUUUGAUCUAUUGAUGACCACCUGUGGCGAAGGCGGUCUACCAGAACACGUCCGACGGUGAGGGAUGAAAGCUGGGGGAGCAAACCGGAUUAGAUACCCUCGUAGUC
rnacentral:rRNA from 1 species